rnacentral:tRNA from 1 species
GCGGAUAUGGCGGAAUUGGCAGACGCGCAGGAUUUAGGUUCCUGUGGAGAAAUCCGUGUGGGUUCGACCCCCACUAUCCGCACCA